GAUGCCCACCUCUCAUCACAGGCCCAUGCUGGGGCCAUGCGCACAGAUUUCUUGGAAUGACUGGCCCACAGACUCCAACACUGGAUCACAGGCCCACGCUGGGGCCAUGCGCACGGAUUACCUGGAAUGACUGGCCCACAGACUCCAUCACUGAAUCACAGGCCCACACUGGGGCCAUGAGCACGGAUUACCUGGAAUGACUGGCUCACAGACUCCAUCACUGGAUCACAGGCCCACGCUGGGGCCAUGCGCACGGAUUACCUGGAAUGACUGGCCCACAGACUCCAUCACUGGGGGAUGUUUGAUGAGAGAGACAAAGUGAGAAGGCGAGUUAAAUACGUUUUGAUGAAGAUAGACAGAUCUUCACUCUUGUUGCCCAGGCUGGAGUACAAUAGUGCGAUCUCAGUUCACCACAACCUCUGCCUCCCGGGUUCAAGCGAUUCUCCUGCCUCAGCCUCCUGAGUAGCUGGGAUUACAGAGCCUGACUUACUCAUUGAAACCAUGGCUGCUUGGACCCAGGCUCUCCAAAUGAGGUAAUGAAUGUGCAAACACUUUGGGGGGAAAAUAAGUGCCUGACACCUGACCUAAA
rnacentral:lncRNA from 1 species